UACGUAGGGGGCAAGCGUUGUCCGGAAUCAUUGGGCGUAAAGCGCGUGUAGGCGGCUCGGUAAGUCCGCUCUGAAAGUCCAGGGCUCAACCCUGGGAUGCGGGUGGAUACUGCCGGGCUCGAGUCCGGAAGAGGCGAGUGGAAUUCCCGGUGUAGCGGUGAAAUGCGCAGAUAUCAGGAAGAACACCCGUGGCGAAGGCGGCUCUCUGGGACGGUACUGACGCUGAGACGCGAAAGCGUUGGGGAGCGAACAGG
rnacentral:rRNA from 1 species